rnacentral:rRNA from 1 species
UACGUAGGCAGCGAGCGUUGUUCGGAGUUACUGGGCGUAAAGGGUGUGUAGGCGGUUGUUUAAGUUUGGUGUGAAAUCUCCCGGCUCAACUGGGAGGGUGCGCCGAAUACUGAAUGACUAGAGUACGGGAGAGGAAAGUGGAAUUCCUGGUGUAGCGGUGAAAUGCGUAGAUAUCAGGAGGAACACCGGUGGUGUAGACGGCUUUCUGGACCGUAAUUGACGCUGAAACACGAAAGCGUGGGUAGCAAACAGG